rnacentral:rRNA from 1 species
CCCUUCGGGGAGCGAGUAGAGCGGCGAAAGGGUGAGUAAUGUAUAGGUAACGUACCUCCCGCUCAGGGAUAGCCAGUCGAAAGGCUGGAUAAUACCUGAUGAGACCACAGCACCGCAUGAUGCAGUGGUCAAAGAUGGGGACCUUCGGGCCUAUUGGCAGGAGAGCGGCCUAUAUCCUAUCAGCUUGUUGGUGAGGUAAUGGCUCACCAAGGCGACGACGGGUAGCGGGACUGAGAGGUUGGCCCGCCACAUUGGGACUGAGACACUGCCCAGACUCCUACGGGAGGCUGCAGUAACGAAUAUUCCGCAAUGGGCGAAAGCCUGACGGAGCAAUGCCGCGUGUGGGAAUAAGCUCUUCGGAGUGUAAACCACUGUCAGGGUUCACCAAGCAAUGGGGACGAAUACUCCCCUGCGUUGAGGAGACCCAAAGGAAGCCACGGCUAACUUCGUGCCAGCAGCCGCGGUAAUACGAAGGUGGCUAGCGUUGUUCGGAAUCACUGGGCUUAAAGCGCACGCAGGCGGCCUCGCAAGCGCCUUGUGGAAUCCCUCGGCUCAACCGGGGAAUUGCUCGACGAACUGCGGGGCUUGAGGCAAGUAGGGGUGCAUGGAACUCUUGGUGGAGCGGUGAAAUGCGUAGAUAUCAAGAGGAACGCCGGUGGCGAAAGCGAUGCACUGGGCUUGUCCUGACGCUGAGGUGCGAAAGCCAGGGUAGCGAACGGGAUUAGAUACCCCGGUAGUCCUGGCCGUAAACGAUGCCUACUAGGUCGAUGGCACUCUGACGUGUUGUCGGCCGCAACUAAAGCGAUAAGUAGGCCGCUUGUGGAGUACGGUCGCAAGGCUAAAACUCAAAGGAAUUGACGGGGGCUCACACAAGCGGUGGAGCAUGUUGCUUAAUUCGAUGCUACGCGAAGAACCUUAUCCUGGGCUUGACAUGUACGGAUGCCCUCCUGGAAACAGGUCGGGUUGCCCUUCGGGGUGAAACGUACACAGGUGCUGCAUGGCUGUCGUCAGCUCGUGUCGUGAGAUGUUGGGUUAAGUCCCGUAACGAGCGAAACCCUUAUCGUUAGUUGCCAGCGGGUCAUGCCGGGGACUCUAGCGAGACUGCCGGUGUUAAACCGGAGGAAGGCGGGGAUGACGUCAAGUCCUCAUGGCCUUUAUGCCCAGGGCUGCAAACGUGCUACAAUGGCUGGGACAGACCGACGCAAGACCGCGAGGUGGAGCAAAUCGGAGAAACCCAGCCCCAGUUCGGAUUGGAGUCUGCAACUCGACUCCAUGAAGUUGGAAUCGCUAGUAAUCGCAGAUCA